rnacentral:ribozyme from 1 species
UGCCCAGCAAAUCAUAUCCCUACCUCCUCGUGGUACCGGCCGGAAACUAUGAGCAACCUUAGGGAAG